rnacentral:rRNA from 1 species
UACGUAGGGGGCUAGCGUUGUCCGGAAUCAUUGGGCGUAAAGAGCGCGUAGGCGGCUAGAUAAGUCCGGUGUGAAAGUCACAGGCUCAACCUGUGAAUGCCGCUGGAAACUGUCUGGCUAGAGUCCGGAAGGGGCGAGUGGAAUUCCCGGUGUAGUGGUGAAAUGCGUAGAUAUCGGGAGGAACACCAGUGGCGAAGGCGACUACCUGGCCUGUUCUUGACGCUGAGGCGCGAAAGCUAGGGGAGCAAACGGG